AAAAAAACUCAAUUAGGAGAUAUGGAGGAUCGGAAAGAAGUACGAAAUUCAGAUCAUGAAGUAGUUAUAGUCAUGGUUCCAUUUCCAAUUCAAGGACAUCUCAAUCAAUUUCUUCAAUUUUCCUGUUUAAUCUCUUCAUCAUAUGAUCUUCCAGUCUAUUAUCUUGGCUCUCCCACACUUAACCGUCAAGCUCGCCUUCGAGCCAACGCCUUAAAUCCUUCAGAUAUAGCCAAAAUCCACUUCCAUGACAUUCCAAUACCUGAAUUUGCCUCACCUCCACCUGUCUUUGAUGCCUUAAGCAAAUUCCCGUUACAUCAUAAGCCAUUAUGGGAUGCAUCUUUGCUUCUUCGCGAGCCCAUUGCUUCCUUUUUACGUGAUAUCUCCUCAAAAUCAAGACGAAUCGUUGUUGUUCAUGAUCCUUUUAUGUCCUAUAAUGUUCAGGAUGUUUCUUCCUUGCCUAAUGCUGAAUCAUAUAUAUUUAAUGGCAUUUCAGCUUUAAAUAUGUACUGUUUUGUAUGCAGAUUUAGAGGGAAGCCUGUCCAACUUGGAGAAGAAUUGCUUAAAAAGCUACCCGACCUUGAAGGAGGGAUACCUGAUGAAAUGAGGGACUUUACAGCUAUUCAGAGUCCACAUAUGGGUAUUAGAUCAGGUGAUAUCCUUAAUACGAGUAAAGUGAUUGAAGGUGAUUUUCUUGAAUUGCUGGUUGAAGAAAGUAAACAACAAUGGGCAAUUGGACCAAUUUUACCAACUAAACUCGAUCAUAUCUCGAAUAGAAACAACAUAUGUUUGGAAUGGCUGAACAAACAACCUCCAAGAUCAGUUCUUUAUGUAUCAUUUGGAACAACAUCUAUAUUUUCCGAUAGAGAAGUCAUAGAGCUCGCGAUGGGAUUAGAACAAAGCAGACACAAGUUCAUAUGGGUGUUAAGAGAAGCUGAUAGAGGAGAUAUCUUUACCGGGGAAGCUAGAAAACUUGAGUUGCCAGAAGGAUUUGAGGAAAGAGUAAAAGGGGUCGGGUUAGUGAUGAGAGAAUGGGCACCACAACCUGAAAUCCUGGCUCAUUCUUCCACAGGCGGGUUCAUGAGUCAUUGUGGAUGGAAUUCUUGCAUAGAGAGUAUUACUAUGGGGGUACCAAUAGCUGCUUGGCCUAUGCAUGCUGACCAGCCAAAAAAUGGUUUCUUGGUGACAGAAAUACUGAAAAUAGGCCUGACAGUGAGAGAGUGGGAUAAACGCGCAGAGCUAGUAAGUGCAUCCACGGUAGAGAAUGUCGUGAGGAAGCUGAUGGCAUCAGAAGAAGGUGAUGCAAUAAGGAAAAGAGCAGAAGAACUGGCAGAAUCCGUAAGGCGUUCCACAGAAAAAGGGGGUUCUUCUCGAAUAGAGUUGGAUUCUUUUAUCGCGCAUAUCACAAGAUAAACUUGCUUUUCACCAGAAAUUUCAAGUAUCUUGGUUACUUCUCGUUUUCAUUUUAAGUUUAUGUUCUGUAUCUGAAACUUUGUAUUUCUCUCUUAAUGAUCUUGUUUACAUUUCUCAGUUGUUUGCGUAUGUUAAAUUGGUUGUAUCCAUAUGUCACCGUUU
rnacentral:misc_RNA from 1 species